GCUCCCAUAGCUCAGUAGGUAGAGCACAGCCAUGGUAAGGCUGGGGUCGCCAGUUCGAUUCUGGCUGAGAGCUCCA
rnacentral:tRNA from 1 species